GCCAUUGUAGCUCAGUUGGUAGAGCAAUGGACUGAAAAUCCAUGUGUCACCAGUUCAAUUCUGGUCGAUGGCA
rnacentral:tRNA from 1 species